CAAUUAUUGGGGAGUAUGGGGAGCUCUGCCUCCAGAUGUAUUUUUCCAUAGGUAUGGGAAGAGAGCAGAGGAUGAGAGAUUCUAUGAAGAUGGGGUAGAUUUCUUGGAGUAGGUGGUUCUGCUGCAGCAAUCCAGGACAUCCCAUCAGCUAAGUUUUCACUGCUUCUGCUUCAUUAUCCUUUCCCUGUUUCCAGAAGCCUGCAGAGAGUCCUGGCUCCAACUCUGUAACUCUUGCAAAAAGUGAAUUAAAAAAUAUUAAAAAUAA